GGCGGCGGGCCCGGUGGGAGAUGAGGGGUUUUGGUUUUGUGGAGAAGAUAAAAGAUCAAGAUUAUUGGGAGAGUUAUUGAGAAUAGGAGUAUCAUUGUGAUUUGUUCUUCUUUCAACAAAUCGCGCAAGGUUUCUAGAGCCAUCGACACCACUGCUUCUGCCAUUGCAACAAUUUGAGGGAAUUCAAGCUCAGAUUUCUUUGCCUUAAUUGAUUGGUGGAACAGUGUUGAUUUGGUAGUGGUGAGAGUGAAGGAAAUUAGUGAAGGAGAAAGGAUAAGGAGCAUGUGGUCGUAAUUGUGGGGAUGGUGGGUACAACUACCCUUCCAAAUGGGAUCAUCUGUCCCAAAAUAUAGUGUGUAUCACGUGUGCCACUGUUUAUUUCUUUAUAUUUUUAAAUUAUUUUUUAUUCAAUUUUAAUUUAUUAUGGUUUUAUAUAAUAUAAAGAUAAUUAACAAGGGUUCAUUCAUCCAUUUAGGGUUUAUAAUUAUUUUUUAUAUUUAUUUGAAUUAAUAAUAGAUUAUUUGGGUUCAUUAAUUCAAAGUUAGGGUAUAUAUAAUUUUUUAAGUUUUAAUUUUUCAAUGAUAAAUACUAAUUAGAGUUUAUAAUAUAAUAAUAAUUUUUAUUUUUAUAAAAAAUAAUUUAUAAAACAGAGAAAUAAAGAGUGGUACAUGUGGUACACACAAUAUUCUGGGACAGAUAUUAGGGGCAGUCAUGAUAUUUCGAGGGCCUUAAGUGAAAAAGAAAAAGUUUGCUCUUUAACACCGUUGAUAUUGAGCACAUAUCAACGGUGUAACACCAAGACCAAACAUGCCCCAUCCUUAAUUAGUAAUGAACUCUAGAUACUAUAACUUUGAUGAGGUAUGUUUUGUUUGGCUUUUCAGCUUAGAGAUGGAGAUUUGGGGAUUAAACUACAUCUCUCAAUAACACACAGGUCACUUGAUAUUAAAAUGGAUCAUGAAUAUUCUCGACAUCGUCUUCCUCGACUAUAUUUAAUUUCUCGAUAUCAUCAUAUUAUGUGAUUUUUUUCAAAUGGAUUAAAUUUGCAUAAGCUAAGUUAAUCAGAUUGGGGCUUUUGAGUUUGAUUUUGUAACAUGAAAUUAAAGUGGUGUUAAGCCUUGUAAUUUGUGGGCCGAAUUUAUGUUUGUUGGAUCUCUUAAUUAAAGAAUGGGUCCAUUUUAGAGGGAGUGGAAGAGAGGGAAUGAAAUUGGGCUGGACUCAUCUUUGCAAUUGGGCUGAUAAAUGAAAGUAUGACUAAUUCUGUCAGCACCUAUUUUACUUAGGGUACGUUUAUUUUGGUUGUAAAAGAUGAAAAAAUAUUAUAUUUUUCUUCUAUUUUUUAUUAUAUAUUUACUAGAGAUGAAAAGAUAAAAAAAUGUUAAAAAAUAUUUUCACACCCCUACUAUAAGAUAAUAUAAUCCAACAUUAAAGUAUAAAGGAGUGAAAAGAAGCAACCCGAAAAAAUAUUCCACCAUAUCCGGAGAAAAUUUUCCACCAUACUAAACAUGUGAAAAUGGUAGAUUAUGAGUGAAAAUAUAUUUUCUCUCUCAUUUUCCAUCAAUGUAAACGCACCCUUAGUACUAUGUUUACAGAAGUAUAUUUUCUGGGAUGCGUCAUAUAAACAUCGAGUACUGAUACAAUAUUUGGGGCAUUUUCGUUAAUCUUUUGGACCUUAACUCUCUCAUUCCAUUGCUCAAAUAAAGGUGAAGGUAUAUGUUGAAUUGGCAUUAUUAAGAAUUUUAUGUUUCUUUUUAUUAUGUUGACAUGGAAAAUUGAGUCUAAUGUUCGCCCUCUCUCCCUUCAACUGACCAUUUCCCUUGUUUUUUUCUCCUGUCUAAAAUUAAUAGAUUGAGUUGAAAAUUUUGAAACAUUAAUUACAAACAAUUAAUUCAAUUCCAAGAAUUUGAAUACAAUAGACUCAAUUAUGUUGACCGGAAAAGAGUCCAACUAAAGCAGCUUCAAAUCCUUCAACAAAAUCUUCAACAUAUAUAACCCAAUUUUUCUUGCUUAAUCAAUGGUAAAUUAAACCAUCAACAACCAAGCAACAAAAAUCACAAUUCAAGAACAGAAUUAUAUAGCUUAAAUCUUCAGAGUCGAAUCUCACCAAAACAGCUACAUAUGGAACUAAGCAAUAUUGUGCAGAAUCAUCAAAAUCAAACAGAUUAAUUAAUAACACAAGGAAUGAAAUAUGGGCACCACUCUGAUGUUAGGCUUGGAGCUGCGUACAAAAGAAGUAUAUCUUUAUAUGCACAUUUAUUGAAGAGAAAAGAGUGCAAAUAAUUAAAGAGAAAAGUACCCUGCAACCAAGAGAAAGAUGGUACAAGCUUUAGAAUGGGUCGAGCUUUAUUAAAACCUUAUCGAACUUUAUUUAAGAAUUGCGUAUUGAGAAUGAGAUUGGUGCAAGCAUUACCCGGGUGGAGACUAGACUAGUCAUUAGUGAAGGAUGAUAAUUGAAGGGACAUGGCUGACUUUAUCGAAAUCCUCUCCCGAUGCUGAUACCCUCUUUCCCAAUUCCGCCAUUCCAUAGAUUUUCAGUUUCCGAAGAGUAGAAAUGCCGCUCAAUCCAUCUGGAAGCAUCUCCAGAUGAGAACACUCAUGUAUUUGUACAGUAUAUUCGUAUAGUUAUAUUAAGCAAUACAGUUUCAAUUUAUUGGAUUCUAAACAACCAAGCAACAAAAAUCACAAUACAAGAACAAAAAUAAAGCUUAAAUCUGCAGAAGUUACAAGCAAAGGCUCAUGGGCCGAAUCUUACCAAAAUAACUCCAUGUGGAACUAAGCAAGUCUAGAAUAAAUUCUCCAGAUUAAUAAUACAUAAAGAAAUAUACACAUUUAUUUGAAAGAAAGUGAUUAAAGCGAGACAAGGUUGCAGAGAAAAGAAUGCAAAUAAUUAAAGAGAAACACUUGGGACAUGGAACAACAAGACUGUAGGUCGAAGGGGGGGAGAAAAGUACCUUGCAACAAAAACCAAGACGAUACAAGUUUAGAGAAAAACUACAAUUGAAGCUACAGAAUUGGGAAUUGAGAAUGAGAUUGGUGCAAGCAUUACCCGGGUGGAGACUAGAUUAGUUAGUCAUCAUCAAUAGUUUUGGAUGAUAAUUGAAGGGACAUGGCUGAUUUUGUGAAAAUCCUCUCCUGAUGCCGAUACCCUUUUUCCCAAUUCCGGCAUAUCAAUAAUUUCUAGUUCCUGAAGAGUGGAAAUGAGAUUCAAUCCAUCUGGAAGCAUCUCCAGAUUAGAACACUCAUCUAUUUGUAAAUGAGAGAGAAGGGGCAUGGCUCCUGCCUCCACUCUCCACUCCCUCAACUUUGGUAAUUGAGAUAGCCCAAGCCUCUUGAGACAACGAAAACUGUUUGAUGGACACGUCAUCUCCUCCCCCACAAAUGAUUUCAUCCAUAAAUACAACUCUAUCAAGCAAGGAAGGUUCCCCAGUAUCCCCAUUGGAUCAUCCUCAAUCUCACAUUCAUAUAGGUUCAAAGUUAUAAGUUUUGAACUGAUGAAGUCACUCCUACACUCUGCCAGCGCCUUCCCUAACUUAACUUGAAUCCACAAGGAAUGAAGAUUGGGACAUGUGAUUACCUUCUUCAGCGUUAACACUCCCUCAUUUGUUCCUAACUCGCAACCCUCUUUGAUUUCAACCAAACAAGACAGUAACUUUUCCAUGAGAGCAAUGGCGUCGAUGUUGGCUGACAAGCUUUCAUUGUCGUGUAUUUUUGUUUUGAAACUUCGCAGAUUCUUCAUUCUGUUCAUACAUUUUAUAUCAUGCACUCUACUAUCCAAAUUCCACAGGGUCUCCAACUCAAUCACUCCCUCGUCCAAUGUCAAUCGAUAACUUCCAAUUUUUUCCUCAUCAUAAUCGGGAAGAAACAAGUGCUUUAAACGUACCAUCUCCUUAAAAACAUUUGGAACUUCAAUAUUCUUCGAAAGACUUAAAUCAAGGGUAUCCAUGUAUACCAAAUUCCUUAUGGACGAUGGUAGCGUAUCAAAUUCACAUCUUUCUAAACACAAACGUCUAAGGUGAACAAGACUAGCGAUUCCUUUCGAUAACUUUCUUCCUUCAAAUUUGAAUCCCACCAUAACUAGAUCUCUCAGCAAUUUGAAUUUCUGAAAAUCAACGAUACCUUGCGGGGGAAACUCAACAACAACACCCGAAUUCAUGUGAUUAAACAUUUGAAGAGACCUUAAAUGUUCGCUACUAUCUUCUCCCCAAGUGACUGUAAGCUCGUCUGGUUCCACUUGAACUUCUUUCCUGAAAUGUAUAGCCAAAUGCCGUAUUUUCCUAUGCGAGGAAGCUUUCCCACUUUGAUACUCCAAACUCUGCACACCAAAAUCCUCACUUCUCCCCAAUUUCAAACAUAGUUCUCUUACUACAUCAUGAAGUUUGCACCUCCAAUAUCUUCUUCCAGGUGUGACACCAUCGUAAAUUUCGACUUGGACGAUGGACUUGGAGGCCAACUCACCCAAGUAGAGCUCUGCAAUUUCCAUCAAAGUUUUGUCCUUGUCUCCAAUAUUAUCAUAUGAAAUCAUGCCUUGUGCUAUCCACAUCCUAUAUAGAUUGUAAGCAUUUAUAUGUUCAUCCUCUUGAAAUAUACCCAUAUAGAGAAAGCAUGACUUCAAAUAAUAGGGUAGACUUUCGUAGCUUAAAUUUAGCACUCCAUCAAUCUCCUUUUCAUCUCUAUAUAUGAAUUCUUUGACUAACUCCCACUCCAUCAUCGAAUUUGUCUUUCUCAAGACCCCACCGAGUAAACAAAUUGCCAACGGCAAAUACCCACAUUUCUUCACCAUUUCUUUCCCAAUUUUCUCAAAAUUUUCUUCCAAUGCAAACUCUGCAUUGAAAAACAAAUGACAAUUACUUGAAUAGUAACUUUAUAACUUAAUCAUAUCCUCUCAUCUAAUUUGGAACCGAUGAUGCAAAAAAGAAACUACAAGCAGGUAAAUCUAGAAUAUUAUUUGUAGACUAGAAGUCAAAUCCAACUAACCUGGAAUGUUGGUGUGGGGAAAUGCUUUCUUCUUGAGUAGUUCCAAAGCAUCUUCCUCUUUUAGAAGCCCAAGUUUGACAGGGCAUCCAAUCUCCGCGACUUCCCGUUCGCGCGUGGUGAUCAAGAUUUUGCUCUGCAAAUCUUGGACAAGGAAGGGAUGCUUGAAGCCAUCCCAAUGAGAAGUUUCCCAAAGAUCGUCAAAAACAAUGAGGCAUCGCUUCUCUCUUUGUAUCUUGCAUAGUCGCUCAUUCAACUCCGACUCGCUCAGAUUUGCAACAACGUCCUCUCUUAUUUGUGGCCCAUCAUCGCUCACACCUUUCCUUGUUUGUGGCUCCAGCUGCUUGAGAACAUCCUUCCAAACUGAUUGAAAACUCUGACAUUGCUGACUAAUGCAAACCCAUGCGCAAAGAUCAAAGCUGGUGCUGUUCUCGUUGUAGAGCUUUUUGGCAAUGGUGGUCUUGCCUGAUCCCCCCAUUCCCCACACUGAAAUUACUCGAUGCUUUUUGUCUUCCACUAGGAGAUGAAGAAGCUGCUUGAGCUCGUCCUUCAUCCCCACAAAACAGUCUCCGAUCUCGAAUUCGGGGAAGCUCUUCCUUGCUCUGUUGUUGGCGGACGAGCUUUCCCCUUCAUCUGUAUUGUUGAUGAUGCUCUUCUUUAUGCCACUUUCUAACAUUUCCUUGUUUAUCCUUUCAAGUCGGGAUUUGAUCGGUGAAAUCUCCGAGCCUAAUUGGUGGAUCGACUUGUAUUCUUCCAAACUACAACUACAUCUUCGGAGGAGCUGUUUGAGGCCUCGUUUUCUCCUUGAAGUCACUUGAUAAGCUGCGUGUCUUUCAAUGGCAGCUUCGGCUCUGUACACAAGAUCUUUGAUCUCUGAGAUCCAAUUGAAAAUGGUUUCGCUUUCAUGUCGUCUUCUGUCGGCAUCUUUGAGAAGACACUUCAUCUCUUUGAGCUGGAUCUCGAGCUCCCUCACUUCGUCACCCACACCAGAUAAAAAUUUUACUUCUUCCUUCAACAAAUCGCGCAAGGUUUCUAGAGCCAUCGACACCACUGCUUCUGCCAUUGCAACAAUUUGAGGGAAUUCAAGCUCAGAUUUCUUUGGCUUAAUUGAUUGGUGGAACAGUGUUGAUUUGGUAGUGGUGAGAGUGAAGGAAAUUAGUGAAGGAAAAAGGA
rnacentral:lncRNA from 1 species